rnacentral:lncRNA from 1 species
AGUAUGUGAUAAGAUUCCUCAGUCUUUCAUCCAUGAUAAUUCUAUAUGUUGUAAUUUUAAUAGUUUCAUUCUGCUUAAUUCUUUGCCAGAUACAUCCUUCCAAUACUGUGUGAUCGGAACUUCUUUCGCUUUGAACGACAUCAUUCUUGAGGCUUGAACAGCGGCUACUAGCAUUAUUCUCCAGGUGGUGGAGGGGCCUGCCUAUGGGUGUCUACUGUCUACUAAUCUCAACUCCAGCUGGUACA